GCCUGUACCCGUUGUGGGGCCUUCUGUGAUCUCCCUGGAAUCUCCCUGGAAUCACACUUGUUAAAAGCUGAAUGUUUAUGGGCAUUAUUUUUUGAGUGAGAAAGGUAACAUUUCAUCAUAUCCUUCAAAGAUCUGGAAAUCUCGUCCUACUUAACUUCUGUGAUUUUGUCAAGUCCUCUCCAAGAGUGAGCACAACAAAUCACUCCAACGUCUGAGCUCUCCAAAACUUGGUAUUUACCUACACUACAGGGCUCAUCACAUUCCACCAGGAGUAUUUGUCUAAGCAUCUGCUCUGUUUCCCCAGGGGGAACACAAGGUGGCCGACAGCAGGGACCAUGUUACUGAAUCGCUCCAGAUUCUUUGCAUAACCACCACCUAACAUGUGUCAGAAAGAACUCAAUCCAUUAUCUCUAAUAAUCGACUGAAUGGACAUGUGUGCGUGUGCUGAAUGUUGAGGAGCUGUGAGUACAGGUAAUGUGUUCCUGUUUCUUCUUCCUGCGUGAAGCUGUAAUUUAAGAACAGUUUGGUGUUGAAGACAAUUCCAGAUAAAGAGCUUUCACUAACCCAGCUAAGGUCCUUACAUUUUUGAAUUUUCAACCAGAAUCCUGGCAACUCCAGAUCCAAUGAAGUGUGGUCCAGGUUUUCAAAGCGUCAGGUGAAACAGAGCCCUUACAUCAAAUGUGAUUCGGUCACAAUUACAGCUGUGACCAACCUAGAGAGGUGUUUUUCUGCAAAGGCAAACUAAUCCCAUCUCAUGUUGGGAGAAGCAGUUAAGUCUUAGUGCUCCCAGCCUCAGUUGCUGUCAGACUGAGACCUCUCUGGUUUAAGAAAUGACUCCUCGUCAUCACUCCUCACGCCUUCCCCAGGCCCUUAAGCCAUGUUCCCUGCCACACAUCCUGCUUAGAUUUCCCUCAAAACACAUUAAUUUUCAGCUCUGGAAGAAAUCUACUUUCCUUCACACAGAGAGCUGUUUGUGGCCAGAGGCUUUUAGCCGAUGAGCAAGAACUUAGAACAACUCUUCAUCCCCAUCUGCCUGUAAUCUGAAAUUUUCAAUCACUCGACCCCGACACCCGAAGACUUGAGCUUGGCAGGAGCAGCGGCUUCAAACCAUGUUUGCAGUUAGCUAAUAAUGAGGCUGUUUGUGAGGCUGACAAGAAUAGACUUUGUGGGCAUUGCUUCUAUUGUGUGCCUUAGAU
ensembl:lncRNA